rnacentral:lncRNA from 1 species
AUGGCAAUAAACAAUACAAAUCUAACAACAUUCAUUCAAAAACAAAGUGCUCUUAUUCUGAAAAUCUGCCUCCUCCUCCCCCCUCCCACCUGUCCUGCUUCAGGUGGAGUCUCGCCUCCUUCCAGGAAGCAACUCGCCUGUGUGUUCGUGUUUAGUGUCCAGGUGUGGCAUGGAGCUUGUUGUUGGUGUCUCUGUGUGAAGAAACUGAAUCCUGCACUGGCUGAGGGAAACAGGAUGGACUCGUACUACAAGGAGAGACCCACAUCACCAUGUCUUUCUCUGAAGAGUAAUAAGUCAAGGUCCCCACCACCAGAUUUAAGCUCAGGGCAAACCACAAGGGUCAGGAUUAUUGACUGAUGGUUAAACACAGUGGGAGACAAACAGGUAAGAAAUACAUACAUACAUACAUAAGUCAA